GCCGCGAUAGCUCAGUCGGUAGAGCAGAGGACUGAAAAUCCUCGUGUCGGUAGUUCAAUUCUACCUCGCGGCA
rnacentral:tRNA from 2 species